rnacentral:rRNA from 1 species
GAUGAACGCUGGCGGCGUGCCUAAUACAUGCAAGUCGAGCGAACGGACGAGAAGCUUGCUUCUCUGAUGUUAGCGGCGGACGGGUGAGUAACACGUGGAUAACCUACCUAUAAGACUGGGAUAACUUCGGGAAACCGGAGCUAAUACCGGAUAAUAUUUUGAACCGCAUGGUUCAAAAGUGAAAGACGGUCUUGCUGUCACUUAGAGAUGGAUCCGCGCUGCAUUAGCUAGUUGGUAAGGUAACGGCUUACCAAGGCAACGAUGCAUAGCCGACCUGAGAGGGUGAUCGGCCACACUGGAACUGAGACACGGUCCAGACUCCUACGGGAGGCAGCAGUAGGGAAUCUUCCGCAAUGGGCGAAAGCCUGACGGAGCAACGCCGCGUGAGUGAUGAAGGUCUUCGGAUCGUAAAACUCUGUUAUUAGGGAAGAACAUAUGUGUAAGUAACUGUGCACAUCUUGACGGUACCUAAUCAGAAAGCCACGGCUAACUACGUG